rnacentral:rRNA from 1 species
CGCAGUGUAGCAAUACAUGGGCGGCGACCGGCAAACGGGUGCGGAACACGUACGCAACCUUCCUUUAAGUGGAGAAUAGCCCAGGGAAACUUGGAUUAAUACUCCGUAACAUUACGAGAUGGCAUCAUUUUGUAAUUAUAGCUCCGGCGCUUAAAGAUGGGCGUGCGCCUGAUUAGGUAGUUGGCGGGGUAACGGCCCACCAAGCCUGCGAUCAGUAACUGGUGUGAGAGCACGACCAGUCACACGGGCACUGAGACACGGGCCCGACUCCUACGGGAGGCAGCAGUAAGGAAUAUUGGUCAAUGGACGCAAGUCUGAACCAGCCAUGCCGCGUGGAGGAUGAAGGUCCUCUGGA